CUCCAGCACUGUGGGAAGCAGUCCCUGGGAAAUUCCUUUUCUUUCUCCCAGCCAGAGCAGGAUGAAGGCUGGGAAGUCUUUGUCUCCAUCUCCAAUUUGUCUCCAGUUCCAGACUGGGAAGCCAUCAGUGCAGCUGAGCAAGGGAUGAAGGAGGAGAUGCCGAGGGACGUGUAAACCACUUUGCAAGAUCAUCCCAGGAAAGGAACUAAAGGAGCCAGAACUUAGGGAGGAGGAGGAUAUCAGGAAGCCUCCUAAUCCUUGCUGUGUUGCCAAAUGAUGGAAAUGUGAAAGCUGCCAGAAAGAACAGGGAUCAGAAGUGUCCAUUUCUAAUCAACCUAGGAAAUGAUACUCAAAGUUCACAACAACACAUGCUUACAGGAUACUCCCCCAGUUUGUCUCUCCCUGAUGCCGCAGCCUGGAGACAAGUGAUUUCUGCAAGGAGGCUGUGCAAACAGCGCGUGUGGAAAGCAGGGCAGGAGGUGGCCAGGAGCAACAGGAACAUCCAGAACCCGCUCCUGACUCCCUCGUUGUGCUUUCCGUUGGGUUCUGCCCUGUUCCAUUCCAGGGGGAAGCUGUUCCCAGGCUCUGGAGGUGCAGAAAAUAAACGCAGGAGCAGCUCUGCUGGCUGAGCUAAUGACAGAGCUGAAGAAGUGUCAACACCGAAAUCGCUCGGGGUGGCAGCAAUGAUGUUCACAGGGACAUGGGAGCCACAGAAAAUACUCUCCUCAAGGCUGCUUGCCCCUGACUAAACUGUGUUUGCAGCAGGAAAAGCCAAAACCUUGCCCAGAGGCAGCGCAGUGCUCCAGGGGCCGACAUCACCAAUGGUGGAGUCCAACCCAAUUCCUGACAGUUCCGUGUGUCAUUUUCAUUCUUGGCAGGGGGAGUUCAUCUUCUGUGACUUCACCUUCCAUAAAGUUUGAGCGGAAUUCACCUAAAACGCCCGUGAACUCCAUGAAGGGAGGUUGGCAGAGAUGAGCAGUUCCUCUGAGGUCCCUUGGACACCUGAGUUUGGGAUGAAUCACCCUCUGGAGAGGAAACGGCCUCGAGCUGAGCCAGGGCAGGCUGAGAUUGGAUACUAUAUCCAGCCUCAAAGCAAGAAUCAAUGGAAAACACAUUGAAAAGAGGGUUAUGUCCAUGUGGAGGAGGAUUGGCAUCCAAUUCCAAACUGGGAAGAUUGACUUCACCAGUUUUGCCUUUGGUUAUCCACC